rnacentral:rRNA from 1 species
GAUGAACGCUGGCGGCGUGCCUAAUACAUGCAAGUCGAGCGAACAGAUAAGGAGCUUGCUCCUUUGACGUUAGCGGCGGACGGGUGAGUAACACGUGGGUAACCUACCUAUAAGACUGGAAUAACUCCGGGAAACCGGGGCUAAUGCCGGAUAACAUUUAGAACCGCAUGGUUCUAAAGUGAAAGAUGGUUUUGCUAUCACUUAUAGAUGGACCCGCGCCGUAUUAGCUAGUUGGUAAGGUAACGGCUUACCAAGGCAACGAUACGUAGCCGACCUGAGAGGGUGAUCGGCCACACUGGAACUGAGACACGGCCCAGACUCCUACGGGAGGCAGCAGUAGGGAAUCUUCCGCAAUGGGCGAAAGCCUGACGGAGCAACGCCGCGUGAGUGAUGAAGGUCUUCGGAUCGUAAAACUCUGUUAUUAGGGAAGAACAAAUGUGUAAGUAACUGUGCACGUCUUGACGGUACCUAAUCAGAAAGCCACGGCUAACUACGUA